rnacentral:lncRNA from 1 species
ACCUUCUCCAAGCUUUUGGUACUGCUGUGACCACAAUGAACCCUACCAAGGUGAAUUCCAUCAUGUCCCACCAGUGCAACGGUGGUGAAUCAUGGUCAUUUAUUUUUUUUUUUAUUUAUUUAUUUUAUUUCUAUCCCGCCUAUCUGAUUGUAUUCGACCACUCUAGGCGGCUUACAAUAAAAACAAUAAUAUAGUUUUUACAUGACAACUAGAACAUAAUAGAGAUAGAGAACAAAUUAGAAGAACAAAUCGUCAAGGGUUUUUUGUUGGGAAGGCCUGCCUGUACAUCAGUGUUUUUACUUGUUUCUUAAAAAUGCCCAGCGAGGGAGCCACGCGAAUCUCAGGAGGCAAGUUGUUCCAAAGGCGAGGAGCCACCGCCGAGAAGGCCCGAUUUCUGGUCUUUUCCUUUCGGGCCUCUCUCGGCGUCAGGCUCCUCAGCCUCACCUCCUGGCUCGCGCGGGGGACACGGGGCGAAUCAAUACUUUGAAGUCGAUGCGGAAUCGGAUGGGCAGCCAAUGCAAUGCGGCCAGGGUGGGUGAGAUGUGUUGGUAUUUUUUCACUCCACUAAGUAGUCUGGCCGCUGCAUUCUGCACCACCUGGAGUUUCCGCAGCAGCCUCAAAGGUAGCCCCACGUAGAGCGCAUUGCAGUGGUCUAAUCUAUUGGGAUGUUACAGGUUUCAGGGAGAGCGACCGACAAGACCUGCCAUCCUUUGCCUGGAGCGGCUUUUUUCCUCCAGACUUCUCUCAUCUGAAAAGGGGAGACGGGCAGUCCAUGAUGCACAAGUACACAUCCAGGCACUGCGGCAUGUCUUAUUCUGCACGCAUGGAAGGAAAAAGGAAGAAUGAACCCUCAACUCCAGGGGCUGCCAGCACGCACGCAUGCGCACCCACACCCACUCACCCCAAGCGCCGCCAACUUGCUGCAGAUUGUAUGUGUCAGGGGAAAGAAAUGCCUCGGAAACCUCAGGCAUAUGAGUCCAAGGCCAGGAUCCUACUGCUAGUCUCAACCAGAGAGCAGAUCCACUGCACCAACGGCUUAAUGGUAAGUGAACACUUCUGU